rnacentral:rRNA from 1 species
UACGUAGGGGGCUAGCGUUGUCCGGAAUCAUUGGGCGUAAAGCGCGUGUAGGCGGCCCGGUAAGUCCGCUGUGAAAGUCGGGGGCUCAACCCUCGGAUGCCGGUGGAUACUGUCGGGCUCGAGUACGGAAGAGGCGAGUGGAAUUCCUGGUGUAGCGGUGAAAUGCGCAGAUAUCAGGAGGAACACCAAUUGCGAAGGCAGCUCGCUGGGACGUUACUGACACUGAGGCGCGAAAGCGUGGGGAGCGAACAGG